GUGUGUGUGUGUGUGUGUGUGUGUGUACGCGCGCGCGCACGCAUGCAGUGAGCAUUCAAGAGAUAAUGGUGUCUCUUAUGGUGAGAUCAGCCUACCUAAGGUUCCAGGUAGACUUAAUGAGUCCUGCAGUGAUAUGAGGGACAAGGUUUUUACUGGGGUCCAGGUAAUCAAAGUGUGUUUUUCAGGUCACUGUUAAGAUACCAUGGUAAGCCUCAUGCAGAUCAUUAAAGGGAUUUUGCUUGGAUCUGGGUAAGUGAUGAUGAUAGUCUUUUCCAUGCAGUAGGCCAUCUAAUAUUCAGAAUAUCUAGAUAAGUACAGAUGGUGUUCCUAACUCUGUGUUGCUGAUUUUUUUCAGGUAUUCCGCUAAGAAAUGAUAUUGUCAAUCAAUGCUGACACACCCGCUCAAGAAGAGAUCAUGGCUCUAUUCAAGGUCUCGUCCCUGGAACUUUGCAGAUUCCAUUUAAGAGAUGGUGGAGAACCUCGUGUGGUAUUAAAGGCAAAGUUUUACUUGCACUUAAGUACAAGACAGUGGUGUUUAUACCAGAGCUGGAGCUCGUGAGAUUGUGCAGAUUUCCAGGUAGAGAGGGUCGGUGUUUUAAGCCAACAUAGUGGCCGUGUUUAUUUGUCAGUAUUCUUAUGCUGUAAGUAGUGAUCGGGGAAAUUUUGCAGAUACCCUGUCACACUGUGAAGGCAUCUCUAACUAAGGUGUUUUUUCUUGGAAAUUUGUAGGUGUCCAGGUAAGAGCUGAUGGUGGCCCUAAUCCAGAUAACGACCGUGGGAUUUGCAGUUAUCCAAGCAAGAGACGACACGCCCCUACUGUGAUCUUGAAUCCCCUGCACAUUUCUAGGUAUCCAGAUUUUUAAGGUAUUCUGGGAUGAGAUGGUGAUGUUCCUAACGACACUAAUGAUGACAGGAGUUUGUACAUAUCCACUCAAGAGCUGAUGGCAUCUCUCGCAACGUUGGUGGCCGUGCAAAUGAAAGAAAUGGAAUGCUUUUUUUUUUUUUUUUUUUUUUAAUUUUUGGAACUAUUUGAUUUGUUAGAAGAAUUAUGACAUUCAAUGACUAUUAAAUAUUAUUCAAAAUUG